rnacentral:rRNA from 1 species
UACAGAGGGUGCAAGCGUUAAUCGGAUUUACUGGGCGUAAAGCGCGCGUAGGCGGCUAAUUAAGUCAAAUGUGAAAAUCCCCCGGAGCUUAACUUGGGAAUUGCAUUCGAUACUGGUUAGCUAGAGUGUGGGAGAGGAUGGUAGAAUUCCAGGUGUAGCGGUGAAAUGCGUAGAGAUCUGGAGGAAUACCGGAUGGCGAAGGCAGCCAUCUGGCCUAACACUGACGCUGAGGUGCGAAAGCAUGGGGAGCAAACAGG